rnacentral:rRNA from 1 species
UACAUGCAAGUCGAGCGAGCUUGCCUAGAUGAAUUUGGUGCUUGCACCAGAUGAAACUAGAUACAAGCGAGCGGCGGACGGGUGAGUAACACGUGGGUAACCUGCCCAAGAGACUGGGAUAACACCUGGAAACAGAUGCUAAUACCGGAUAACAACACUAGACGCAUGUCUAGAGUUUAAAAGAUGGUUCUGCUAUCACUCUUGGAUGGACCUGCGGUGCAUUAGCUAGUUGGUAAGGUAACGGCUUACCAAGGCAAUGAUGCAUAGCCGAGUUGAGAGACUGAUCGGCCACAUUGGGACUGAGACACGGCCCAAACUCCUACGGGAGGCAGCAGUAGGGAAUCUUCCACAAUGGACGCAAGUCUGAUGGAGCAACGCCGCGUGAGUGAAGAAGGGUUUCGGCUCGUAAAGCUCUGUUGGUAGUGAAGAAAGAUAGAGGUAGUAACUGGCCUUUAUUUGACGGUAAUUACUUAGAAAGUCACGGCUAACUACGUGCCAGCAGCCGCGGUAAUACGUAGGUGGCAAGCGUUGUCCGGAUUUAUUGGGCGUAAAGCGAGUGCAGGCGGUUCAAUAAGUCUGAUGUGAAAGCCUUCGGCUCAACCGGAGAAUUGCAUCAGAAACUGUUGAACUUGAGUGCAGAAGAGGAGAGUGGAACUCCAUGUGUAGCGGUGGAAUGCGUAGAUAUAUGGAAGAACACCAGUGGCGAAGGCGG